rnacentral:lncRNA from 1 species
GUGGUUGCUAGGUUGUCGGUUGUUGUUUCUGUCGACAUCAGCAGAACUUCGGUGACGGCAGAUAGCGUGACAAGGAUGGCUUCAAGAAGCUCUGGCGAAACACCUAGGGUUCCGGUCCUAUUCCGGUGAAGUUCCGUCCAGAAGGAUUAAAGCUUGCAUCUUCCAUUUGUGAGUAUUAAGCAAAAUCUUCGCAACUAGGGCAUGAAUUUGAUAACCUUCGUAUCUGCGCCCCUCUGGCCUUUGAGCCUUUUAAAAAGGUAAAUUUUAUGUUAGGGUUUUUGUUCUAUCCGCCAGAUAUUACAUAGGGUGUCCAUAGAAGUUUGGGAUGGAUAGUUUAAUAAACAUUUCAGGAAUUGUAGUCACUCUUUAGGUGCUGUCAUGUAUAGUAUUCUAAGUUUAAUGUUGAUUUCUUUUACUUUAGCAGUGGUAAUGCUAAUUUCUAGAGAAAUAUUAAUGGCUUGUGAAAUGGGUGUUGAGGUACUCUUUAAUUUCAUAUGGUCACCACUUCAAUAGGCUACUAAUAUGAUGCUUUUUUUCCUAGGUUCACAGUCCAAGUUGUUUAUUUUAAACAAGGGUUAAGAAGCAAAGUCACCAACGCAUUUCGUUUCUUCUUCAACACCAAGUACCGCUGCAAAGCGCGGGUGGGAAUAAGCGGUUGGUGUAGGUGGAAGGUGUUGUCAGUAGGCAGGUGUGUUUGGAAGCUCCUUUGAAGACUGGAGUGACAACGGUGAUGGUAGAACAGAUGGAGAAUGAUACCAGGAAGCCUACAUUAUUACAUAUUUGGUAGCUAGCAAUUCAAAUGACUAAAAGGGUUCAUCAACCUGUGUGACCGAGGAUAUGUUAAUAUGAGAGACACAUGUUGAGAUGUUUGUUUGGGUUGGUUAGCCUGUAGACUCCAAGGAAAGGCAAAGUGCUUUUGAAAUCAGGCAUGUACCUGUUUAGCAUAUCUUCUAUCAGUAAUAUUGCAAGCUUAUUUUUGUUGUCUAAUAUGUUUUUAAUAAAAGAUAUCGGAAUACAUAUGAGUUCGCUGCAUCUUUAGAUGGGCUAUCCCCAUAUGUACAUAGAAGGAAACCAACCUAACUUCUUUACAACAUUUUUCUCAUGGGAUUCUGCAAAAGCCAAUGCAUGUUUUUAUUUCUUAUUUUGUUAAUAUUGUUCACUUCUAAUAUGGGUUUAUUUGAUUAAUUUGAAACUAUGUAUGCUCUUGAAGUUAGAGAUGGCAAAACGCAAGCGAAGAGACGAAAGAUCGGAUUGUAGGCUAGGUUUAAGGUCUGCCCGUUUCUUGAUUCUACUCCACUUUUCGGAUUGGCUUAGCGUUACAUCUAUCAACUAACUGAGCUUCCUUAGCUGACUGGGCUUUCAGCGCUGAGUUUCAAGACAAGGCGAGUUACAG